rnacentral:rRNA from 1 species
UUAAGCAGCCAUGUCACCCUGCAACUUACAAUUGGCAGCCAACUGAAGCUAAGCAGGUGUGAGCCUGGUCAGUACCUGGAUGAGAGACCUCCUUAGAAACUAAGUUGCUGCCGGAA